AGGUUGCUGUUGAAAGUGUCUCUUGGGCUUGCAAACUUGGUCUUGCCUGUUCUGGUGUUUAGAGGGAUAACAAAAUGCAAAAGAGUACCAAGCUAACGUGUAUUCUUUUCCAGACUCUAUCUAUCCUUUGUUGGGAUUUUUUUUUUUAAGACCACAUGAGAUUUGGUGGUAAGUAGGCUCCAUGCCCAGUGUGGACCCCAAGAUGGGGCCUGAACUCACGACCCUGAGAUCAAGACCUGAGCUGAGAUCAAGUGUUGAAUGCUUAACCAACUGAGACAUCCACAUGCCCCCACACAUGUUUAAAUUUGCAGACCAGCUGUGGAAGGAAAUUGAUAGACUCAAAUUUCAGGGAUUCUAAGAAUCUGCUACCUUGAGCCCUCCUGUCCUCAAAUACUUGAUCCUGCAACGCUGAGCCCAGAGUAUACUCUCAAUGAAUCUCUUUGGAGAAGACAGGAUGGAUGGAACUCAAACAAGUGGUGCCCAGGAAGAGGCAGUCAUGGAUCAUGGAAAUGACCAAAAGAAGUCACUUUUAUUUUCAAGCCAAGCAUGAAUCUCCAGAGGGACAGAGAGAAUCAUAACUUUUCUUAAAUAACAAGAUGGUGAAAUCAAUCAAAUAAUAGUUCACUGAAUCAGCAUCACUACUCCCAUCUUUACCUAUGAGGACGUCAAGACAUAAAGUGAUUAAAUUAAUUACCAAGAUAAAAAAGGAGUGUGUGGCUAUGCCAAGAUUCAUCUCACCACCAGUGAUGGUCAUGUGGGAUAGUCGCGAUUCUGCCUCUCUGAGUUUGUAUCUGGAGUGAUACAGCCAACCCACUGAAACAUGAUGACCAAAGAAUUAUUAGCAAAUGUAACAUCUGGAAGUUGUUUCAAUAGUGCAGGAUGUUAAAGCAAGUGUGUGUGGGUAAUUAAUUGAUUUAGCACAUUUAAAGGAAGUUUCUUCUCAAUUACAAUACUUACUAGGAAAUAAUGGUGUACUAAAGAAACAGCAUAUUUUCCAUGGCUAGGGUUGCCAUUAUGCCAUUUCUUUCUCCCUUAGUGAACGACGUAGGCACUUAAGUUAAGGGUUUGAGCUAUAAAAUGUGUCUUAAAAUGCUGGUCAAUAGGAUAUUGGAUAACUUUCUGGAAAUUUUCAAAAGAUCUGCUCCUAAAACAUUAAAUUUAUAUGGCUUCAGAUGUAUUUAGUUAUUUUGCUUAACUGUUACAGUGACUUCCCUCACCUAAUAAUUCAAACACCUCUUAAACUACUGAACAACCAUUAGGAUAUGCAUUGAUUCUAUAAGCUGCAGGUUACAAGCGUAUUUUACACAGUCAAGAAUUUUUAGAACUCAAAGGCUUCCUCUAUUAUUUGUUAAAUGGCUACUUUGCUGAGAGACAAAAUGGUACAUGGGUUCAGCCUGGUGGCAUUAAUGGCAACAAGCCAAACCCAAACAGAACAAAACAAAACAAUAAUAAUCACAUCUAGGUCCUGUGGCAAAAAGAGCUUGUGAAAUAUGCUAUGGAGCUGAUACAUUUAACUGAAGCUAAAAAUAAUUGAAAGAUAAAUGAAUGGAGGCAGUAAAAAUUUUCUAAAACACUUAGCUCUGGAUGGAAUUAGAAUAGUCUCCUGACCAUAUUGUAAAAGUCUUAUUUGAUAACAAGAUCGGCCUUCGUUCCUGCAAAGGUAUCAUAUUUUGUGUGCAGUCUAAUAAUUCAGGAGAAAUAAGGGAAAAGAACUGGACAAAAUACCAAUCCUAGGAUCUGAAUUAGUUGAUUAAAUGAACCCUUGUGAGCAUGUAUUAUGUACCAGGAGUUUGCAGACACAGAGACAAGUAAGCUGCAAGAAAAAGUGAGAAGGGUCCAGGAACAAAGUGCUGUGGGAGAACACCAGAGAGGGACUAACUCUGCAUAGAGCACUGCGGGACACUUCACUGAGAGGAUGACAUUUCUGCUGACAGAGGGCAACGUGUGAACAGGCUCAGAGGGGGACAAAAGAAUGGCACCUGGAAAGGCUAUCCCAAUCCCUCAUCAUGUUUUAUCAUCUUUAUACUGGUGAAUUCAUCACAUUUCAGAGUCUAGACUCAGCCCUGCACACUUAAUAAUUCAGUCUGUUUAGUAUUCCAGUCUUGGAGGAACGGAAGAUGCACACUCAAACCAGCAAACCUUACAAAACACAAUGUAAAAGACUGAAAUGCCAGUUUGUUCACUCACUAUGAUACAUAUAAUUCAAUUAGAAAAGGCCUUUGUGCCAUCCGGGACAGAGAAGUUUCUACCCAUAUAGAACACUAGAAUUACCAAAAGUUGCUUAGAGAGAUUUGGAUCAGAACAAAGAAAUCAGAAUGCAUGUGAGCCUUACAUUUUGAUAACGUGAUGAAUUUGUCUCUGUAUUAGAGCUGUCCGGGCUCACAUCAUUGUACAAUGCGUAUAGUAAAGCAGCAGGAUUUGAAAAGAUACUAAUUCGUUUGAGACAUGUACUUGACAUACCGGCUAGACAUUCAUGUGAAGAGAUGUAGUAGAGAGCUGGUGUUUGAACCUGGACCUCAGAAGAGAGAUCCUUGUUGUGGGUAGACAUCAAGACCCAACAUUUAGGUAGUAGUUGAAACCAUGGAACUAGAUGAGAGAGAGUGUACAUUGAGAGAGUGUGUGCAAAUUGAGGAGAUAAAAGCAGCCAUUGUUCCUCUAAAACGUGGUUCAUAAUAAAGAAUUGGGUGGAAGGAGUCUGCAAAAGAGAAUAGGUAGGAAAGGCCAAAGAAGAAGUAAAAGCAGAAGAACAUAUAGUCAUGGGGUUUCAGUGAGGGAGUGAUCUGUGGAGGGAUCAAUGGGAAAUGAAAAAUUGGUAUGGUGAGCGGAAGCUACUCUUUUUAAGAAGAUAGUCAGUGAAAGAAAUAAAAAAAAAAGGCAUGGCACUGACUGGAGGAACAUUUCCAGAAGGCUUUCAGUAGUACCUGUGCAUGGCCACAUUUUAGCAUUUUGCCCUUCAAUUGCUGAUUUAGCCCACUCCUGCAUAUUGAAAGCUCUUUGAAAGCAAGGACUGCGUGGAAUCUGGUCAUCACUUUCUAGGGUGUUUGGAUGCAGAACUGAGGAAGCAUUCUGUAAGAGCUGAAAGGAAAUAGUUAAUAGAAAGAGGCAACAUAUAACUGACAAAAGAAGUAAUUGACAAAUCAAGGAUGACGGUUUGCUUCUAGACCAGGAUCCAGAACACAACUGGAAACUUCAUUUUUUAACAAAAGAUCUUUUCCCCUUCUUCUGAACUAGAGGGAAGUGAGAUGAGGAUGGGUUCCUAUGUAAAUUAAAAGUAUAGACGUGGGGCUGGGAAGCCAAAGAAAUUCAUUCUGGAUAGCCUUGCUCUCCUUAGUGAUGUAGAAUGAAUUUAUUGGAUAUCUAAUAAAUGCCAGGCACAUAUAUUUCCUAAUAUCGAUUCAUGGUGACUCUCUAUUCAUAAGAGAGAUCUGUCUUUAGUUUUAUUUUUUUGUGUGUAAUGUUUGUCAGAUUUUGAUGUCAGAAUAAUCCCAUAUCCAUAAAAUAGAUUUGAUUGCUUUCCAUAUUUUUUUCCUGUGUUCUGGAACAAAUUAUAUAGAAUUGAGUUUACUAGUUCUUUUAAAGUUUCAAGUAAUUCACUAGUAAAACAAUCCCUAGAGAAUUUAGAGCAAUUUUUGAAAUGUUUUUCAUUAUACCUAUGGUUAUUAUUCAAUUCAGAUUUUUCUAAUUUUUAUAAAUCUUUAUUGUCAGUUUAUAUCUUUCAUGAAAAUCAUCCAUUUCACCCAAUUUUACAUAUUUACUGCAUACAUAGGGUCUUAUAUUGUAAUCUCAUACAUUGUAUUCUGUUUGACUUUUGUACCCUUUCUCUUUCUAAUUCUAUUUGUUUUCUUCUUUUUCUUAAUCAGAUUUUCUGGAAACCUAUCUACUCUAAUUUUAUUGCCAAUAAUUCAUGGGCUCAUUAAAUUUAUUUUUUCCUAAUUUUAAUCCAUUAAAAUUUGCUUUUAAAAUAUUAUUUUCUUUUUUCUUUUAUUCUUAUUUAUUUUACUUCAUUGUUUUGUUAAUUCUUGUUUAAUAAUGUGUAUGUUUAAAGUUGGGAAAUGUCCCCUGAAUGUAGGCUUUUGCCUUCGAUUCCUCCAGGGCUGCUUUCCAUUAUUUUAUUUCUGUCAAAUAAGUCUUUGAUCAUUUUUGUAUUUUUAUUUUUAUUCUAUGUUAUUGCAGCUAUUGUAAACAGCAAAGAGUUGGGUUUUUCUACCCUGAUCUCAAAAGCUUUAAACAUGAGGAUUUAACUGGUUCAUUUUGAGAGUCACAGGUGAUAUUUGGCCUUUCUCUCUGUCAUUAUUUUUCAUGCUUUAACAUUUAUUUUUCCCUUUUGCUACAUGAGCUAUGUUUUAUUUGUUCUUCUAGUUUUUCCCAUGUAUUUGAAAGUUCAC